rnacentral:RNase_P_RNA from 1 species
UGAGUAAGUCAGACAACCGCGGGCGCAAGCCGAAAGGCUGCGCGUGAGGAAAGUCCGGGCUCCGCAGGGUCAAGGCGCCGGGUAAUUCCCGGUGAAGGCGACUUCAAGGAUCGUGCAACAGAAAUAGACCGCCGGCUGCUUUCGGGCCGCCGGCAAGGAUGGAAAGGUGAGGUAAGAGCUCACCAGCAGCCUGGCGACAGGCUGGCUCUGUAAACCCCGCCUGGAGCAACACCGUGGAGGGACAUCAGGCUGACCCGCCUGUCCCAGGGAGGUGGCUGGAGCCGGUUGGCAACAAUCGGCCUAGAUAGAUGGUUGUCCAAUACAGGACCCGGCUUACAGACUUGCUCAGAAA